rnacentral:rRNA from 1 species
GGCAUCUCAAUCUGAUUAAAGAAAUUCGGAAACAGAUAGGCUCGCGUGACAUUAGCUAGAUGGCGGGGUAACGGUCCACCAUGGCGACGAUGUCUAGGGGUUCUGAGAGGAAGGUCCCCCACACUGGAACUGAGACACGGUCCAGACUCCUACGGGAGGCAGCAGUGAGGAAUAUUGGUCAAUGGUCUGACGACUGAACCAGCCAUGCCGCGUGAAGGUGACGGCCCUAUGGGUCUUAAACUUCUUUUGUAAGGGAGCAAUAAGGUGCACGUGUGCAUCGAUGAGAGUACCUUACGAAUAAGCAUCGGCUAACUCCGUGCCAGCAGCCGCGGUAAUACGGGGGAUGCAAGCGUUAUCCGGAUUUAUUGGGUUUAAAGGGUGCGUAGGCGGUCUGUUAAGUCAGCGGUGAAAUUUAGGGGCUCAACCUCUACCGUGCCGUUGAUACUGGCAGGCUGGAAUGCGGAUGCCGUGGGAGGAAUGUGUGGUGUAGCGGUGAAAUGCAUAGAUAUCACACAGAACACCGAUUGCGAAGGCAUCUCACGAAUCCGCGAUUGACGCUGAUGCACGAAAGCGUGGGGAUCAAACAGGAUUAGAUACCCUGGUAGUCCACGCUGUAAACGAUGAUGACUAACCGUCGGCGAUACACAGUCGGUGGCCAAGCGAAAGCGAUAAGUCAUCCACCUGGGGAGUACGACCGCAAGGUUGAAACUCAAAGGAAUUGACGGGGGCCCGCACAAGCGGAGGAACAUGUGGUUUAAUUCGAUGAUACGCGAGGAACCUUACCCGGGCUCGAACGGCAGAUGAAUUGAGUAGAGAUAUUCAAGUCCUUCGGGACAUCUGUCGAGGUGCUGCAUGGUUGUCGUCAGCUCGUGCUGUGAAGUGUCGGCUUAAGUGCCAUAACGAGCGCAACCCUUGCCGUUAGUUGCCAUCAGGUAAAGCUGGGGACUCUAGCGGGACUGCCACCGCAAGGUGUGAGGAAGGGGGGGAUGACGUCAAAUCAGCACGGCCCUUACGUCCGGGGCGACACACGUGUUACAAUGGUGGGUACAGAGGGAAGCUACCUGGCGACAGGAUGCAG